AGUGAACGCUGGCGGUAGGCCUAACACAUGCAAGUCGAACGGCAGCACAGUAAGAGCUUGCUCUUACGGGUGGCGAGUGGCGGACGGGUGAGGAAUACAUCGGAAUCUACUUUUUCGUGGGGGAUAACGUAGGGAAACUUACGCUAAUACCGCAUACGACCUACGGGUGAAAGCAGGGGAUCUUCGGACCUUGCGCGAUUGAAUGAGCCGAUGUCGGAUUAGCUAGUUGGCGGGGUAAAGGCCCACCAAGGCGACGAUCCGUAGCUGGUCUGAGAGGUUGAUGACCCACUCUGAACCUGAGCCACGACCCAGCCUCUUAGGGAAGGCACAGGUGGGAAUGUUUGGCAAAGGGGGGGAAGCUUGUACCAGCCAUCCCGGGGGGGUGAAGAAGCCCUCCGGGUGGGAAGCCCUUUUGUUGGGAAAGAAAAGCAGCAGGUUAAUACCCCGCUGUUCUGACGGUACCCAAAGAAUAAGCACCGGCUAACUUCGUG
rnacentral:rRNA from 1 species